UAAUCUAUAUGGAGCAUAUCCUCAUUUAGCUAUGUCAGGCCCACAUCUGAAUACUCAUAAUUACUUGUUGUCGUAAGCCCAACUACAUCAUCGACAUUGAAAAAUAGAGGAUAGUUAUUGUGUGCAUAGUGACUUUUUUAAAUU
rnacentral:pre_miRNA from 13 species